ACAAGCACACAUAGAUAUUGGGUUUUCAAUUGGAAAGCUGCAGGACCCUCAUCCUUCAUGCACAUUUUUGACGUUACUGUGGACUCCACGUAUGGAUGCAACAGAAUCCUAUUUCCUUCACAAUGACACNGUCACAAAUGUUGACUCAACAGAUUCACCUCACACACAUUCCUUUUCUCUNGACCCCUCUGCUAUGCCUAAGCCAUAACCACCCAUAACAAACUCAACACGCACACCAUGCCUCAUCAUCCAUGACACCCACUCUAAUCCCUCAUCUCCAUCAACACCAAAGAGACACCAAAAAAAAAAUCACAGAGAACAGAAUUUUUUCCUCNAACANAAUCAUCUCUCUCGCCCUUCAUCCCUUCCAUCUUCACCAUCACACCCAACUACGAGAACAAAAGGCUCCCUCUCGACACAAAAAUUCUACCAGCACCCUUCCACCAUCUUCAUUUCCAUUAUCAUCCUCCUUAUCAGAUUUUUUCCCAGCAUUCAAAACGAAAACAGAGAACCANUGAGGGAGGAACGGAGACACACACCCGAACACCACGCCUCGCUACUCCAAUCAUCGGNCACUCACAGUUCCUACCCAUACCCUUCUAUCACCUUCAUUCUCAUCCAAAUCUNUAUCACGCCUUUCACUCCCUUUACUCACCAUAACAGAAACCCAAUCCCCUUGAUACAUUAUAGUUUGUAAAAAUUCCAAAUCACCCAAAGCAGUUCCCCAACAGCCCCAUCUGCAUCAAUACACACACGCACAAUAACAUAUACAAUAUACAGAANGCAAAGUCGCAGAGGAACACCACGGUGUGUUUCUUUCACCCUUCGAUUGUGUCAAUCGAAGCCAACAACCUUAUCUCCAUCGGAAUCCAAGACGAAGAUGAAAUAGGAGCAGGAGAAAGUGGUGUGCCCUGUUCGGAGGCUGUGACCUCAGAGGUGGAGANGGUGGAAUUGGUGAGAUCGACGGCAGCGUCCGACUUCANUAGCUAAAGGGGCAUGGGGCACUGACGGCCAGUCCCGGCGAAAGCNACGAGGGCNGUGAGAUCCCCGAGNUGGAGUCGCGUUAGUGCGAAGAGGAAGAAGAGAAAACUUGGUGCGACUGUCUCGGCAACGCGACGGUGGUGAGAAAGCUCGACGCGGAGCNUCGACCCUAGCCUGGUGUUGGCAGCACCUUUACGGNGACCNGCGUCGUCGUCGGCGUUUNUGACGGNGAACGACCUAGGGGAGGAGGGGNUGUUCUCNCGUGAAGAGACGUAGGAGAAGUGUGGGCUUGGCGCAGCAACCAGCAGAGGNUGUGGCGGUAAUCGUCACACUGACGGCGUCUUAGGCUGCAGUGGCUAGCGGAGGUUGGUGCGGUAGUGGCCGGUUAAGGGGAGGUGUCUCUGGUUUCCUUUNUUCAGAGAGAAAGAAACCCUGGGUUUGUUGAGAAUGCAUCGCGCAAAUGAAAGGAAAUUAGGGAAACCCCUAAUGAANUUCUGAUGGGUCUAAGGGGUUUUGGGCCUGACUGAUAGGCUGGCCUUUCUCUUCCUGCCGACACAUAAAUCAUAUUCACACCACCAUUUCAUUUCUGCAAACAAGGAAAAAGGCUUUGGGCUUAGGCCUUGUUCUGCCGCCACGCGCACCCCUCCUUUUGCCUAUCCGCACCACCUUUCCAUUUGGGUUGCAGCCUAUUUUGCUGCUGCAAACAAAAAAACGAGGCUUUGGACUUGGACCAAGCAAGUUUCUUUGCCACACUGGUUUUUAAUCUCUGCACCUUACUUUUAUUGGGUUUAUU
rnacentral:lncRNA from 1 species